rnacentral:lncRNA from 1 species
CAGAUUUUUUUUCUGGUGUCCAAGACUUUCAGGACACUUGUUUUUGAAAUAUAAAAUGUGAAACCAGUGUUGGCACUUUUGAUCUGUUUUGGCAUCACCCAGAGGUCUUGCAUUAUUGUCAUCAGUACAAUAAGCCAGGAAUUGAUCCUUUGAAGUAAUUGACAAUUCUCUACAAUGACUGUGAACCAAGUGCUCUUGUCCCUCUGCUCUCAUCUUUGUAAGUAAUUUCUAAAGAAAAAAUUCAUUAUGUCAACAGCAAGGAAGAAAUUCAAAAAGUUUUAUUACAUUUUAUUGCAUUAAAUCUUCUUGUAAUAUCUUAUUAUAGAUGCCAAUAAAUUCCUUGAAAUAACUCAGAACUGACAUAAUUUGAUAGUACAAAUAUGAUUCAUUGUUUCAAUAUUUAUAAAUUAUUUUAUAGUAGUAACCUAGAACACAGUAGAAAUAAAUGUUUAUUAAAUAUAUAAAAUUUUAUAGAGUUUGUUAGUUUUUUCUAUCUUAGAUUAUAAGAAACUAUAUGGUUCUAUCAAGUGUAAUUUAAAAAUCAAUAAAUAUUUUCAUUCAUAAAAAAUUCUAAAAUGUUUGAAAAAGUACUUGUAUAAAGGAAAUUACAUAAAUUAAAUAGGUUUUAGUAUCAAUAUACAGUUUAAAGGGAGCAAGUAACAUUUUCUUAAGAAAGUCGAUAUAAACAGAACUAGUUGAAAAUAUUUAAAGCUUUUAUUCUUUUUAAAAUUUUUAUGUGAUAUGUAAACUUUAGUGAAGAAUAGCUCAUGAAGGGACUGGGGAUAUAGCCCAGUUGGGAGAUUGCUUGCCCCUCAUUCAGAGGGCCAUAAGUUCAGACCCCCGCUCCACAAAAUGAAAAAAGAAAAAGAAAAAAAAAAGAAUAGCCCAUGAAGAAUACUUUUUGUGGAUCUCCUGGAAGAAGGAAAACCAACAAAAGAGUUAAAUAGUGACAGAAUUUUGUAAACAAAGAAGAUAAGUAUUUAUUUGCUUGAUAUGAGGUGUUUAGGUUUUGUGGACUGAAAUCUUUAAAUAUUCAUACUGCUGCUAUGUAUCAAUAAAUACUGGUAUAAAUGACAACAUCAUUUUUAUUUAAGAGUUACUCUGUAGCUAAGUACAAAUAUAAAAAGAGAACAAAUAUCCAGCUCUGUAUUUUCAUAUUAAUUACAAUAGAUUAUGAUGACUCAAAAGUUGCAUGGGUAAAGCCUUAGAGAUCAAUAGACUUAAUUAACCUCAAAAAUUUACCACGUGUUGGAAGCAAAUUAAAUACUAAAGUAGUCAUUGGAUUCAAUAAGUAUAAAACAUAUUUAUUUCUUUCAUAUAAUAUUGGUUACUUAUGUUUUUUCAGCAAAUAAUUCACUAGGCUAUUCCAGCAUUAUAAAGAGAGAUCCCCACUUGAAUGGAGCUCAACAAUCAAUACAGUAAAUUUCAAAGUUUCAGUAAAAUUUUUCCUUAGCAAUAUUGUGACCUGAACUACUAUUUUUAUAAUUAUGGCACUUCAGAGUCAUAAUAAUCUCUCUAUGAUUUUCAAUUUAUAAAUUUAAUAAAUAUCAACUAACUGGGAAGGGUAAACUUUCACUCACGUUUAAGACUGGUCAUAAUUUGGAGACUGUUUAAUGAAAUACAGAAGAUGAGUAAGUGUCUACAAAGCUUUUUGUUAUUUCUAAGUCAGGUCACCCUACUUUACAAUUUUUCAUAUGAUAUAUUUUACAAUUUUAGUUACCAUUAUGGUAAUUUAUUACAAUUACUAGAUUGUGGAAUUCAAUUGGCAUUUCUUUCUUAUUGAUUACUUCAGUUAUCACCUGAUACAUUACUUAACUUAUCAAGUCGCAGUUUCCACAUAAAACUCAUGAAGUUCAAUAAUAUAUACUUUACUGGAAAGUAGCAUGGAGUUGUAGCAAAGGGCAUUGAUUCUAGAAUCAGGCAAACCUGGUUUAAUUCUUAGAUGUGGCAAAUCAUAAUUAUGUGGACCUAAAAACUACUUUGAAUCAGAAAAAAAUAACAUUAGAAAUUGUAUUUUUUAUUCUGCAAUUUCAUUUUAUGCUUUGGGUGGCUUAUUUCUCAUAGAUUCUAUUUCUGAUAGAAAGUAGUUUCUAUUGUCCAUUGAAUUCGUUUUUUAGGAAAAUGCACCAGGCUGCUUUUCUGUUGUUUAUUUAUUUAUAAUUUACCUUAGCCUGUCCUCUAGAAACUGAGAACUGUUUCUUGGAAAUUGUGAAUUGCAUAUGUCUACUCUGUAUCCUGGUAUGGUUCUCUGAGGACUAAUGACAUUUUGUUUGUUUGUUUCAGCAAGCAGUGACCUUGGAUGAACUCAAACUUCAAACAGCAUCCCACAUGUGGAGUGUAGUCAUUGAAAUAAAUGUUCAGUUCUUUAUAAUUAGCUGUCCUACUUGAAGCCUGCCUGAUGAAUUUACAGAUCACAGAUCAACUAGAGGAUUGGGGAAAGUUUACAUGCAGAAUUUGAGGUCACUUCUUUGACUUUAUCCUUUGUACAACUUUACUCCCCACAUAACAGAAGUUCAUCCAAGACUUAUAGAAAAUAUUUAGACCAGUUACUUUGAGAAUUUGAAUAAG